GCAGGGGCUAAGAGGGUGUGGCUCUUGUUUAGGGCUUUGAAGGCCCUCGGUUUUGUUAAUCCUAAAUCCCUA
rnacentral:tRNA from 1 species